GAUGAACGCUAGCGGCAGGCCUAACACAUGCAAGUCGAGGGGCAGCGGGAAAGUAGCUUGCUACUUUUGCCGGCGACCGGCGCACGGGUGCGUAACGCGUAUGUAACCUACCUUAAACAGGGGCAUAACACUGAGAAAUUGGUACUAAUUCCCCAUAACACUUUGAGAGGCAUCUUUUGAAGUUGAAAGUUCCGGCGGUUUAAGAUGGACAUGCGUUGUAUUAGUUAGUUGGUGAGGUAACGGCUCACCAAGACGACGAUACAUAGGGGGACUGAGAGGUUAACCCCCCACAUUGGUACUGAGACACGGACCAAACUCCUACGGGAGGCAGCAGUGAGGAAUAUUGGUCAAUGGACGCAAGUCUGAACCAGCCAUGCCGCGUGCAGGAAGACGGCUCUAUGAGGUGUAAACUGCUUUUGUAUGAGGGUAAACCUAGGUACGUGUACCUAGCUGAAAGUAUCAUACGAAUAAGGAUCGGCUAACUACGUGCCAGCCGCCGCGGUAAAAC
rnacentral:rRNA from 1 species